CACGGCCACGGCCACUGGGCGCAUCUCCACCACGGAGGUGAGCUGGGACCGGCUCCGGGAAGGCUGGGACGGCCCGGUGGUGAGGGCGGAUCGGACCUGCAUCCUUACACUAGCAAUGAGUAGGCAAACGAGAGACUGAGAGAUCAGAAGCCAAUGCAAGGUGGAGAGAGCAGCCUACUGAAGGACAGUCACACCCAGGGUCACUCUCUGGUAAAAGUGAGGGUCCAGCUACAAGGCAAAGAUGCAUGGUGACAGUCCCAACAGCCAUCACUGCUAAGCAGAAAGCGCUGUGUUCAGAUGGACAAUGAGGCAUUAUGCAUCUGAGAACUCUGGAGAUGAAAAUGAAAUAAAAUAACAUUACCCCCAAGAUGUACUUUCUUCUGGGGUUGACAGAAGCAGAAGGCUGAGAAUGUAUUCUCUACAGCUAGAAGUCUGCCUUGUGAAAAGGAAAAGCUCUAUUAUUGCUGUGUAACUGGGAAGCAGAGGACACGUGUGUCUGUGGUGGAAUCUUCUAGCACCACAGUUGAACAGAAAGAACCACUGCCCGUACCUGCUACCGAGUCCUCACCUGGUCAGGCCCACACACUCCCCAUCAGGGUCUUUCCUGCUGGCAUCUUGCUUCCUAGACCCUGGGUGUUUGCCUUGCUGAGGGCAGGAGAGUUGUGGCUCUGUCUACCCUCAGGAAACCAAAGGAAAACCAGAAGUAAAUGUAUAUCAUAUUUACCAAA